GUCAUGGACAAGUAUCAUCAAC
rnacentral:snRNA from 1 species